rnacentral:sRNA from 1 species
UUGUGCAUUUUUGGCCUGCAAAGUAGAUGAAUUCAAUGUAUCUAGUCCUCAGUUUGUUGGAAACCUUCGGGAGAGUCCUCUUGGACAGGAGAAGGCACUUGAACAGAUACUGGAAUAUGAACUACUUCUUAUACAGCAACUUAAUUUCCACCUUAUUGUCCACAAUCCUUACAGACCAUUUGAGGGCUUCCUCAUCGACUUAAAGUUAUUUAUCAGAGAGUCUGAUGCUGAAAGAGAACAGAACUUGCCUGUCACAGUUACUAGAUAUAAUGAAAAGCAUGAGAAACUUAGUAAAAAAGUAUGAACCACCCAGAUCUGAAGAAGUUGCUGUUCUGAAACAGAAGUUGGAGCGAUGUCAUUCUGCUGAGCUUGCACUUAACGUAAUCACGAAGAAGAGGAAAGGCUAUGAAGAUGAUGAUUACGUCUCAAAGAAAUCCAAACAUGAGGAGGAAGAAUGGACUGAUGACGACCUGGUAGAAUCUCUCUAACCAUUUGAAGUUGAUUUCUCAAUGCUAACUAAUCAAGAGAAAUCGCCAAACUUUGGCAUCAGAGCAAGGUCCACACUUAUCACUGAAAAUUUUCCCACCCAGCCCCAUUAAAAACGUUAAAGUGUGAGAGAUUUUAUUUCAACACUGACAAGCUAGUUACUAGAGGUCCUACAAAGGUAAGUAACAAGUUUCCAUUUCAACUUGAGAGACAAAUGAUGUUAAAAUAUGAGAAGCAGGGUAAGUCAGGUUUGUGAUUUUAAAUAAACGGGAGAAGGAUUUCAGACUGAGGAAUGACAGGUUAGUAUGGCUAAAGAUUGAGGUGUGAUAAAUGGGAGCCAAAGUGCACAGCAAAAAUAUCUUGACUAAUCCAUAUCCUCCCUGUCUUCUAUCAUGUAACCAAGGAAGGAGACCACCUGGGAUACUAUGUUGGUCCAAGUCCAGCUAAAAAACAGAAGGGGUGGAAAGGAGAGUAAUUUGAUAAAAGAGCCAAGAAGGGAGAGAAUGGAAUGAAUUGAGCUGAUUUCAAGGAAAAGGAGCAUGGGACAUGUUGAGAUUUUUGGUAUCAGUGUUAAACGGUGAUUGAAGCCACAUAGGUUAGCAGCCCCCAUAGAAAUAACUGCCUUUUGUAGCUUGGAACUAUUAAGCAGACAUCUUUUAAGCCCUUAGCAUUUUUUUUUCCCUGUAUUUUAUACAUUAGAGGAAUAGCAUAAAGUGUUGCUCUUGGAAUCUAGGGCUUUCCUUACUGUGGGAACACCUCCUUGGGUUCCUGUCUCACUCACUCUGAUUACCAGUGUCAUUCUGCCACGUAUGUUCCAUAUGUCCUAUCUGCCCUGCACAAUUAUGAGAGGGAAGGAAUUAUUGUUGCAUUUAUAAAAUCCUUUUCAAAAGAGGCCAUUAGCAAAAAUACUAAUCUAAAGCUUCAGCUUCUCCCUGGGCCUUGCUCUGAUGCUAAGGUUUAAACUGCCCCUGAAGGAGGAAGAAAAUAAAUAAAUUAAAUGCUUAGCUCUUUUAGACAGAAGUAAUCAAUUAUGCAAGAUAUCCCUUGGUUUUAUUUUAACUUAACCUUUGUGAAUACUUCACAAAAAUACACAUACAGAAGUAAAUAAAACUAUACAGUUGAACUAAAUAUCCAGCAGAUACAACAAGUAGUCAGAAGUUCAAAGAUGGAUAAGUUAGGCAGCUGAUGAGGUUGUCUGCAUAAUCAAAGGGGUAGCACAAAUAAUGAACAAAUAACUUUUAACAAAAGCAUUCUAGUUAACAUAAAAGAAAUUGGUAGUCUAUAAAAUGGUUGAAUGGGUAACAUGCAUUGAUCAAUACAACAACCAAUAAUAUUUACUGAAUUCAAACUAUUUACUUGUAAACAUUUAACAAAGCAUUAUGAGAUCUAAAUACAGUCUUUGACAAUUUCAACAAAAUAAGUCGUAUGUUUAAAAAAUAAAGCUGAUGAGCAAU